rnacentral:rRNA from 1 species
GAAAGAAAAGGAAGAUUGUUUACAAUUAAGAGCAUAUGGUGCAUAUAAGAGACGCCGGGAUGAUAGUUAUUAUAUAGGAACCAAUAACAUGUAAAGGUACAAUUAGUUAAGUAUUUAAGGUAAAUUAAGGUGAUGUGAGUUAAUGAUCAAGAUAUUCCCUAGCUAUAUAAAGAAGAAUCUAUAAGUUAUUAAGGUAUGUAUGAUUUAGUAGGUGUUAAUAACAUAUGAGUAAACCCGUUCUAGCAAUUUCACAGUCUAUCGUCGAGAUAAGGAGUAUUCGUGUUGGGGUAUAAAGGAUUAUGAGUAUAUAAGUAUUUAGUUAAGUUAAUGGUUAUAGGUAAAUAAAUAGGAUAUAGUACUUAUGUAUAUAUAGGUUAGUAUAUAUUCAAUAAAUGUUUAAUUGGGCGUAGCACUAUUAGGUGAGGGUAUAGGGUGUGGGCUAUCUUUAUUUAUGUUCCGUUCAAUUCUUCUUUAAUUAAAGUUUGAUUCUUUCUUUUAGGUUUGGAUUUUGAAUUAUUUUAUAUGUAAGAUUUUACUUUUUUAAUCUAAAUGAUUAUUUUGUAAUCAGUAUUUAAUUUUGGUUUUUAUUGAAAGANAAAAUCAGGAUUUUAAUUAUUUAACUGACAAAAAUUGUGCCAGCCGUCGCGGUUAUACAAUUAGUUAAAUUAAACUUUUUUGAUUAUAUAUUAAUUUUGUUUUUUAUAAUUUUAAUUUUGAUUUUUAGGUGAAAUUUUAAUUAUAUAUAUAUUAUAGGUUGAUGAUUUUAUAUAUGAAGAUUUUUUUAUAAA